GAAUAUUUAAGUUUACAAUCUUUAUGAAUCCUCAGAUUCUUCUUUCCAAUGAUAAAUAAAUUCAAGGGCCUUGGAGCUUGAUCUUGAAUCUAUGUUUCUUGCCACGAACGAUGAUCUUGUUCUUGAGCUUGGGCUUGAUUCUUCUUCGUUCUUGAGCUUGAAAUUGUUUAUUCUUCGUUCUUGAACUUGAACUUGAUUGCUUGAAGCUUGAAACUUCUAGAGCAAUUUGCAGCGUUUGAUCCACGAGCUCUUUCUUGCUUCUUAU
rnacentral:lncRNA from 1 species